AAAAUUUUAUUUCAACACUCCUCGAAUUUGGAAAUAAGGAGACAAAGGGAAACGACCAUCGACUGGAAAUAAUCGGUGGGUGAGAAGAUCCCAGACAUCUAUACUCCAAAGUCUUGUACAAGCCCUAUUCUGGGCCCCUGCAUUGAGAAAAUAACUGGAGGGCACAUGCCAACUCAUGCCGCCAAAGGCCCUGGACAAAGAAAUAAUAUUGUACUAUAUCAAGCGAGCUGGGAAAUAAUCAGAAGCACCAAAAAUCAGUGGCUAUCACCACAUGCCAAGUUAGGCGACUAGAACUUCAAUGUCAAGAUGUCAGAAUUGGUAGCAGCAGUCAAAGAUAUAGAAAAUAAAGUGAGACAGCCAAAAGGAAUGAGGAUGGAUCCAAGAAAAUAUAGCCAAAAAUUCUGGUGCAAAUUCCGUAAUAAUCAUGGUCACAGGACCACCGACUGUUGAGUCCUUCAAAAUGAAGUAGACUGUGUUCUCAAACAAGGGUAUUUCACUGAACUCCUUAGCGAAAAGGAAAAACAAUGGUAUAUGAAGAACAGAGGUAUAGAAGAGCCACCACGAGUCCCGUCACGAAGAAGUGAUCUUGACAACCUUUUCAGAGGGGGUGGUCAAAGAAACCCCAUUCCACAUCGUAGUUGGAGACAUGUCUACAAUGCCAUCCUAGGAAGACCAUGCAUUCACAAAAUAGAUAUAGUCCUAUCAAUGAUACACAAAGUUAUUAAAUUUCCAUCAAAGUGGUAAAGAAAUCCGAGAGGAACGAAGAGCAUCCAGAGAGGUCAACUCAAUUGCAGCUGCAAGCAGUCUCCCCAAACACGAGCCGACCAAAUAUCAACCAAAGCAGCUUGAAUCCCAAAGCGUUAAGGCACCGCCUGCGAAAGUUAAGUCUAGUGAUUUUGAACUUGAGAUCAAAAUGUUUUUGAUAAGAUUUCUGAACCAGAAGAGACUGAUGCCCCAAAUUGAGUGUUGUGGAACUAGAAGUGGUCCUCUUUAUCGACUUCCCGGAAAGGAAGGUGUAUGUGGGGUUGGGACUUAACCCUGAGCUAAAAUACGAUUUAAUUAAACUUUUAUACGCUAAUGCAGAUUUUUUGCUUGGUCACAUGUAAACAUUAUAGGGAUUCACUUCGAAAGUAAUGACUCACAAGCUCAACAUAGAUCCCAAUUACCGACUAAUCAAGCGGAUAAAAUGGACGCAAGGUAGUACUGGAAUGAAGUCAUUAACAACAAAAUCUCCAUACUAUUGAAGAUCAAUUCAAUAAGAGAAUUCAAGUAUCUGGCAUGGUUGAAAAAUACCGUUGUCAUUUCAAAGAAGAACGGCAAAUGAAGAGUGUGUAUCGACUUCACUGAAAUAAAAAAGUAUAUCCUAAAGAUUCUUUUUUCUUUGCCCCAAUUGAUAAACUUAUAGACGCUACUGCUGGCCACAAACUACUGAGCUUUUUGGCCAUCUACUCCUAAUAUAACCAAAUUAGAAUGGACCUAGAAGAUCAAAAGAAAACGUCCUUCAUAAUUAAAAAGGGAUCUAUUAUUAUGACGUGAUACCAUUCGAUCUAAUGAUUAUGGGAGAAACAUAUUAGAGGCUGGUCAAUAUGAUAUCCAUAGUUUACAUUCGAAAGUCUAUGGAAGUUUAUAUCGACAACAUGUGUUGGCCCAAGAACAAGUGAAGUUUUGAAGAAUGACAACAGAACUCAGUCAUAGACCAGGUCCAUCAUGUAAAGCACGCUGUUUUAUCAGCCUAUACAUGUGAGAUGCACGUGAAGGAGAUAAGUCCUAUUGAUCAAGCAGCAAUAUCUCUUGAACUGACUUAAUAGGUUGCAUAUGGGAUAAGGAGAGAAAGUCUCCUUAUGUGAAGAGAACACAAUCUGAAUAAAAGAUAGUGUUGGAGUUUGUGUUGUUCAAGGACUCAACUUCGAUUAAAGAUCACCAAUCGAGUCUCGAUCAACCUGUAAUUACUUACUUAUUAAAUAACAGUAAUUGUUCUCUUUUAUAGGUAUUACACAUAUGUAGAAGUUAAACUAAAUUGAGAGCAAAAGAGCAAGGCGAUUUUGCAAGCAAUUUACGUGAGAUUUAAGUGUGCACGCCUGAAGCUACUUGAACGAGAUAGAAGAACCAGUUCAAUUGUGUUUUCCUUAUUCUAGUUCAAUUGUAGUAGGUGGUUUAAAGUUGUACCUUUCAGCUUUGCCACACCUCCUUUUUGCACACCUACCCCGAGGGAUAAAUGCAUAAGGGAGUUUUUUCAAUUUAAGUUACAAUAUUUGAAAUGGGAUUAUUUUAUUUAUUUAGAGUCGCCCUUGGGAAAGGUUUGGCUUUUGGUGUCCCAAGUCACGGGUUUAUCUUGAAUCCCAAUUCGAGGAAAAUAUUCGACUUUCCAAAUGAAGCCUGCGAACCAGAAUUUCUAAGUAAGGAAUUUUGUUGACCCGAGGGAAGGUGUUAGGCACCCCUGGAUCCCGUGGUUCUAGCACGGUCGUUUAAAUUGUUGUAAAUGGCUAAAUAUAUGAUUUUAAUACAUGUCAUAACUUAUGUGCUUUUAUUUAACAUUAAACCGCUUUUAUUAUUAUUUUUAAUAGAAUUGUAACGUCAUGAAAAUGAAUUUCGAACCACGUUGCAAUUAAUGCACCCGUCGUUGUUAAUAUAUUCCGACUCCGUUGAGAUUUGAAUUUGGGUCACAUAAAUGAGCGCCCGAGUUUAAGAAGGUAAAUUAUUAAAAGCGCGUCUAAAGUGACUAGCGCAUUAUUAUCUUUGAGAAGGGCCGUGAAAUUCACUAAAUGGCCCAUCCAAAAUUCUAAAUAUUUUAUUUCAAUUGUUGAGAGCGUCACAAUUUGUGUAUUAUUUGUUUAGUGAGGCUUGUCUCAUUUUAUUUUUAAAGGAAUAUUUAACUAAAGCAAACUAAGGAUGUUCAAGAUUAUUCUCCUAAGCUAGUGAUUAUUAGAAGGCCAUGGAUUAUGGAAUUAAAAUAUUUGGCUUUUCUUACAUGCUAUUUCGGACCAGAUAACAGAUAGCCUAAUUAAUUUGAAACAUUCCCCAUAGCCCCCGAAUCAUUCUGCCUCUCUAUUCUUUAUUACCAAAUUAUUCUUCAAGAAUUAAUAUGAAUCUAGGCACAUGGAAAGUUUUCAAACACUAAAAUUAUAUAGAAUAAAUUCAACACAUAAAAUAACAAAUUAGUCUAUCUAACAUGUUUCCAAACAAAUCAAGCAAAUAUAUGACGGAAAAGAAAAGGAGCAACUAGAAAUAAGAAUUAAAAAAAAACGUAAGAACAGUUGAUCAAUAAAGGAUAAGAAGAACUAACUUUUCAAAUUAUCAAAGACCUUUCUGCUUUGGAUUAACGACGAAAACUCAAUACGAGUACAUUGAAGAAGAGAAUACAUCCAUAUCUUGAAUUCUAACAAAACCAAUCGACCAAAGACCACGGAAACCUCAAACCGACGACCUCGAAUGGAAUAGCGAACAAAACCUUGGAGAUAAACAAUCGAUGGAGGACAGUCAGACCAGAACUCGACUCGACACCGGAAUGAUGACCUCAAACCAUUUUGAGCUUCGACGGAGCUGGACUGGUGUAGUUUUCCGGCGGAGUUUGACGUGAUGAAGCUUGUCGCGGAUGGGGUGGAGAAGCAGCAACGGCAGCGUGUGGAAGCAGGCUGGAAUAGUGGUUUCUCUGCUGCUGGUGGCGUCGUGGUGAGCUGAAGAAGAAAGCAGCAACAUUUGGUUGAGGAAAGGGGUCGUUGGGUUGAAGCUAGCAGGAGGUGGUCGCUGGACUGUUUGGUUCCGGUGAGCUGUUUUGGGCAGCGGGAGGUGGGUUCAGCUGGUUUCAGGCAGGGGGGAGAUAGGGACGACGAACUGGUGGACUCGCUAAGGUUCUUGCUGUUGUUUUGUUUUAGGGGUUUUUAGAGGUUCAUCAAGAAGAGGAAGAUGAAUAGUGAUAUGGGUCUUGUGUGUUGUCUGUCUCCAAAAAUCUGACGAAGAAGUGUGUGUAUUUUAAGAAGUUGAAGAAUGAGAAGGAAGGGGCAAGGUGAAACGUGGGUGAGUUGGGGAAAAGGGAUAAAGUGAGGGGAUAAGGAAAAGUGGGGGACAUGAGUGGGGAAUAAAGAGAAGAAGGGGUUAUGAGUGGA
rnacentral:lncRNA from 1 species